rnacentral:sRNA from 1 species
AAGUGCAUAAGUCUCCGUCAAGCAGACAAAUGCGAGGCAAGCUCGCUUGCGCGAGCAUUUGGAUAUUUGACGGGACAACAGAUAUGAGCAUGCAGGGCGAUAGCCCGAAAUGCGAAUAUCUGUCAGCGAUGCGAAAGCGCAGAAGUCUGCCAUCAGGCAGACUCGGAGCGUCCUUGACCACUU